rnacentral:rRNA from 1 species
AUACGGAGGGUGCAAGCGUUAAUCGGAAUUACUGGGCGUAAAGCGUACGUAGGCGGUUAUUUAAGUCAGAUGUGAAAGCCCCGGGCUUAACUUGGGAACUGCAUUUGAGACUGGGUAACUAGAGUUUAGUAGAGGGGAGUGGAAUUUCAGGUGUAGCGGUGAAAUGCGUAGAGAUCUGAAGGAACACCAGUGGCGAAGGCGACUCCCUGGACUAAAACUGACGCUGAGGUACGAAAGCGUGGGUAGCAAACGGGAUUAGAAACCCUAGUAGUCC